UUGAUGAACCAGCUGCCCUUUCUUGCUGC
rnacentral:piRNA from 1 species